UGUACAGUGCUUUUUGUCACUGACUGUGUGUGAUGUGUUUCGUGUGCUGAGGAGCGAACAGAAACAGCAAAGACCAGUUUCCUUGCCUCAUGGCAGGGGGCGCUCAUGAUCCCAGACAUUGGUGUUGUGACUCCACAUCUCCAGAGUAAGAGACAGUGAGCUAGCCAUACAGUAAAUAAGUCAAGUGCAGCGAUAGAUUUGUUUUCUCUUCUCUUCCGAUGUCAACAUGGAUCACUAUAUUUCCACACUUAAACAGUUUUCUAAAGUGGAUUUUCAAUCGAAGCAGGAAAUAAUAAAUAAAGGAAGACCAACACCAGAGCUGAAAGGUUUGCUUCAAACUACGAGACAAAAGGAUAUUGUUUUUUUCAAAUGAAGUACAAGAAAAGACGUGCUUUGUGAAUGUCAUCCUAGAAAUUGCCUUUUCUGCUACCCUUUUCAUCUUUUCUCAACUUGUGUCGAGGAUACACUUGGCUUUGGAUGAACUGACAUUUUGUGCAGAAUGGGCGGUGCCUGGACUUCAUUUAUAAGUAAAGGUGAACCUCCGCCUCUCAACUGAUGACUGCUAGAGAUGGGCAGCACCAGCCCCCCUCACCAACCUGUAAGGAUCAGUGUGUUCAGAUCAUGGAUGGAAAGUUUUUAAGGCAAAGAAGUCACUGAGAAAUGUUUCCACCCCAGGCAUCUGGUCCCAAUCAUCAUCAGUUCUGAUUAUGUCACAUACAUAGAGAGUCCACAACGUCUUGAAAUUGUUUCUGUAAAGUGCAGUGGUCCAGUGAAUGGAAAUGUUCUGUCGGUGAUCCUCACUGUUCUUAGGAUGGAGAAAUGCCAGUUUGUCUGCAGUAAUACUGGGACAUUGUAUCAAAACGUUACUCUGUCCUUGGUGAAAUAUUUUUCACAUUUCCUCCAAAGUUUACCUAUUGUUUUAUUGUGCUAAUUUUCAUAAGCAUGUUGUCUGUAAACUUUGAAUGUAUUGACAAUUUGUACAAUUCUGUUUUAGUAUAUUGGCAAUGUACUCUUGAAAAAUGUGAAUAUAUUGAAUACACAAUGUAAUUAGUUUCACCUGUAAAGUGUGUUGUAAUGGAUCCUUCUGUGUUCUGGUAACCUGAUGUGUGUAUGAAGCAUGUAAUGUACAAAGUGGCAAAGAAUAAUAAAAGACAGUAACUAAAAAGUGUAAUUUAUUAGCAAUUAUAAUAAACCAAAACUGUAAUUGUAGCUUCCUGUUGCAUGCUACAAUGUUUUGUCAAAGCUGUCUGGUAUUUGGGAAAGUUAAUUUUAUCAGCCUUGACUAAAACUCCAGUUCCAUCCAAAGAAAAACAAACCCAAAUCACAAUGUUGCAACAUGUUUCACUGGCAGCAUGGUGUUCUUUUGGUUUUCAUGUGCCCAACGUUGCUUUAAGCUCAAUUUCAUCAGGUGUGUGAAAAUUGUAUCCAAGACUUUUUCUGAAAACACAAAUAUUUAGUUAUAGAUCACUUAAAUUUUAGUUUCUAUGAGACACUACAAAAUACAUCUAAUAGAAAAAGUGUUGAAAUGUGGUGUCUUAUGUUGCAAACACAUCAAAUGUGCUUUUUCUUAAGCAGGACAUGCGCCUGCUGCAGCUGGAAAUGGCACACUGUGUCUGAAAAUAAAGUGAACAGGGUGAAUAGUCCAGAGUGCAGCUCCACAGAGCACUGAAGGUGACGCUUUCAACUCAUGGUUCUAAUGGUCCAUUCA